UUCAAUUUCAUGAUAUUUAUUGAUUUUAAUCUUUAUUCUAUUUUGUCUUUAUUUUAUUCUUAUUUCUAUUUGUAUCUUUAUUUAUUUAUUUAUUUAUUUUUUGGGCAUGAGGAAACGGACCACCAUUUAUUUGGAAGGAAAAUCAACAGAAUUUUGAAAAGAGGAGAUUUUAUUUUUAGAGGGACAGCACAUAUACUUCUUCCAUGUGGGGAUCGGCUACAAGAAGGAAAGAAAAGGAAGAAGGAAAGAAAAAGAAAGAAAGGAAAUAAAGGAGAAAAGGAAGUAGGAUUUUCCUUUUCAGCAAGAUGGUUUCUUUUUGAAAAGUGGGACUGGCAGCACGCAUAAAAGGGAUUUUUUUUCAGAGGGGAAAAAAAGACGCAUUGGAG
rnacentral:lncRNA from 1 species